rnacentral:rRNA from 1 species
AUACGGAGGAUCCGAGCGUUAUCCGGAUUUAUUGGGCUUAAAGGGAGCGUAGGCGGACGCUUAAGUCAGUUGUGAAAGUUUGCGGCUCAACCGUAAAAUUGCAGUUGAUACUGGGUGUCUUGAGUACAGUAGAGGCAGGCGGAAAUCGUGGUGUAGCGGUGAAAUGCUUAGAUAUCACGAAGAACUCCGAUGGCGAAGGCAGCCUGCUGGACUGUAACUGACGCUGAUGCUCGAAAGUGUGGGUAUCAAACAGGAUUAGAUACCCUGGUAGUCCACACAGUAAACGAUGAAUACUCGCUGUUUGCGAUAUACAGUAAGCGGCCAAGCGAAAGCGUUAAGUAUUCCACCUGGGGAGUACGCCGGCAACGGUGAAACUCAAAUGAAUUGGCGGGG